rnacentral:rRNA from 1 species
CACGUAGGCACCAAGCGUUGUCCGGAUUUAUUGGGCGUAAAGAGCUCGUAGGCGGUUCAGUAAGUCGGGUGUGAAAACUUUGGGCUUAACCCAAAGCGUGCAUCCGAUACUGCUGUGACUUGAGUUCGGUAGGGGAGUGGGGAAUUCCUAGUGUAGCGGUGAAAUGCGCAGAUAUUAGGAGGAACACCGAUGGCGAAGGCGGCAUCCUGGACCGGCAUUGACGCUGAGGAGCGGAAAGCUAGGGGAGCAAACGGGG